rnacentral:misc_RNA from 1 species
AAAAUGCGAUAAGUAGUGUGAAUUGCAGAAUUCAGUGAAUCAUCGAAUCUUUGAACGCACAUUGCGCCCUUUGGUAUUCCUUAGGGCAUGCCUGUUCGAGCGUCAUUUUCACCUUCAAGCACAGCUUGGUGUUGGGCGUCUGUCCUCAAGGACUCGCCUCAAAACGAUUGGCAGCCACUUCCGCGGCUUUGAGCGCAGCAGAAUUGCGUAUUCUAGCAGCGGGAGGUGGCAUCCAUAAGCUUUCCUUUUUAUUUUGACCUCGGAUCAGGUAGGGAUACCCGCUGAACUUAA